GAUCCUGGCUCAGAAUCAACGCUGGCGGCGUGCCUAACACAUGCAAGUCGCACGAGAAAGGGUAGCAAUACCUGAGUAAAGUGGCGCACGGGUGAGUAACACGUGAAUUAUCUACCUCCGAGUGGGGAAUAACUGAGAGAAAUCUUAGCUAAUACCGCAUAACACUUACGAGUCAAAGCAGUAAUGCGCUUGGAGAGGAGUUCGCGGCAGAUUAGUUAGUUGGCGGGGUAAUGGCCCACCAAGACGAUGAUCUGUAUCCGGCCUGAGAGGGCGCACGGACACACUGGAACUGAAACACGGUCCAGACUCCUACGGGAGGCAGCAGUGGGGAAUUUUGCGCAAUGGGGGAAACCCUGACGCAGCAAUGCCGCGUGGAGGAUGAAAUCCCUUGGGAUGUAAACUCCUUUCGAUAGGGAAGAUUAUGACGGUACCUAUAGAAGAAGCCCCGGCUAACUUCGUGCCAGCAGCCGCGGUAAUACGAGGGGGGCAAGCGUUGUUCGGAUUUAUUGGGCGUAAAGGGUGCGUAGGCGGUUUGGCAAGUCUUGUGUGAAAUCUUUGGGCUCAACCCAAAGCCUGCACAAGAAACUGCCGGGCUUGAGUAUGAGAGAGGUGAGUGGAAUUUCCGGUGUAGCGGUGAAAUGCGUAGAUAUCGGAAGGAACACCUGUGGCGAAAGCGGCUCACUGGACCAU
rnacentral:rRNA from 1 species